CUCGGACUGAGCCCGCCUCUUCCUGUCAGAGUGAAGCUCUUCUUCUUCUUCAGUAUGGCAGGCUGCGCGUGGAGGUCAAUGCUGUCCCAGGUGGUGGUGGGGGCCAAGAGGCCCACCCUCUCUUCAGCUGCCUUCUUCUCCAGAGGGAUGCAGACUGUGACUCUGAUUCCUGGAGACGGGAUUGGACCG